UACGUAGGCAGCGAGCGUUGUUCGGAUUCAUUGGGCGUAAAGGGUGCGUAGGCGGCGCGGUAAGUUCGGGUGUGAAUCUCGGAGCUUAACUCCGAAACUGCAUUCGAUACUGCCGUGCUUGAGGACUGGAGAGGAGACUGGAAUUUACGGUGGUAGCGGUGAAAUGCGUAGAUAUCGUAAGGAAGACCAGUGGCGAAGGCGG
rnacentral:rRNA from 1 species